UCCCUGGUGGCUCAGUUGGUAAAGAGUCUGUCUGCAAUGCGGGAAACCCAGGUUCGAUCCCUGGGUAGGGAA
rnacentral:tRNA from 1 species